rnacentral:rRNA from 1 species
UACGGAGGAGGCAAGCGUUAUCCGGAAUUAUUGGGCGUAAAGCGUCCGUAGAUGGUCGCUUCAAGUCUGCUGUCAAAGACCGGGGCUUAACCCCAGAAAAGCAGUGGAAACUGAACAGCUAGAGAGGGGUAGGGGUAGAGGGAAUUCCCAGUGUAGCGGUGAAAUGCGCAGAUAUCGGGAGGAACACCUAUGGCGAAGGCAGCUCGCUGGGACGUUACUGACGCUGAGACGCGAAAGCGUGGGGAGCAAACAGG